rnacentral:rRNA from 1 species
CCUACGGGAGACUGCAGUGGGGAAUAUUGCUCAAUGGGGGAAACCCUGAAGCAGCGACGCCGCGUGAAGGAUGAAGGCUUUCGGGUUGUAAAGCCCUUUUAGUAGAGAAGAAAAUGACGGUACCUGACCAAUAAGCCCCGGCUAACUACGUGCCAGCAGCCGCGGUAAUACGUAGGGGGCAAGCGUUAUCCGGAGUUACUGGGCGUAAAGGGGGCGUAGGCGGGUGAGCAAGUCAGAAGUGAAAUGCUUGGGCGUAACCACAGAACUGCAUUUGAAACUGUGAAACUAGAGUAUGGGAGAGGUAGGUGGAAUUCUUGGUGUAGGGGUGAAAUCCGUAGAGAUCAAGAGGAAUACUCAUUGCGAAGGCGACCUGCUAGAACAUAACUGACGCUGAGGCGCGAAAGCGUGGGGAGCAAACAGGAGUAGAUACCCGUGUAGUC